rnacentral:tRNA from 1 species
GCCUGGGUGGCUCAGCCGGUUGAGCGGCUGACUUGGGCUCAGAUCAUGAUCUCAUGGUCCGUGAGUUCGAGCCCCACGUCCGGCU